rnacentral:rRNA from 1 species
UUUUCCUACGGGAGGCAGCAGUGAGGAAUAUUGGUCAAUGGGCUUACGCCUGAACCAGCCAAGUCGCGUGAGGGAAGACUGCCCUAUGGGUUGUAAACCUCUUUUGUCAGGGAGCAAUUGGCGCUACGUGUAGCGUUAUCGAGAGUACCUGAAGAAAAAGCAUCGGCUAACUCCGUGCCAGCAGCCGCGGUAAUACGGAGGAUGCGAGCGUUAUCCGGAUUUAUUGGGUUUAAAGGGUGCGCAGGCGGCGUGUCAAGUCAGCGGUAAAAUGUCGGGGCUCAACCCCGGCCGGCCGUUGAAACUGG